GACGUAGGGCGCGAGCGUUGUCCGGAUUUAUUGGGCGUAAAGAGCUCGUAGGCGGCUUGUCGCGUCGAAUGUGAAAUCUCAGGGCUCAACUCUGACAUUGCAUUCGAUACGGGCAGGCUCGAGUUCGGUAGGGGAGACUGGAAUUCCUGGUGUAGCGGUGAAAUGCGCAGAUAUCAGGAGGAACACCGGUGGCGAAGGCGGGACUCUGGGCCGAUACUGACGCUGAGGUGCGAAAGCCAGGGGAGCAAACGGG
rnacentral:rRNA from 1 species